rnacentral:rRNA from 1 species
GCUGGCGGCAUGCCUAACACAUGCAAGUCGAACGAAGUAGCAAUACUUAGUGGCAGACGGGUGAGUAACAUGUAGGUAUCUGCCCUUUGGCCUGGAAUAACACGAGGAAACUUGUGCUAAUACCGGAUAAGUCUUUACGGAGAAAGCUUUAUGCACCAUUGGAUGAGCCUGCACUUGAUUAGUUUGUUGGUGGGGUAAUGGCCUACCAAGACUGUGAUCAAUAGCUGAUUUGAGAGGAUGAUCAGCCACAUUGGGACUGAGACACGGCCCAAACUCCUACGGGAGGCAGCAGUGGGGAAUCUUGCACAAUGGAGGAAACUCUGAUGCAGCGAUGCCGCGUGAGUGAAGAAGGCCCUUGGGUUGUAAAGCUCUUUCGUCGGGGAAGAAAAUGACUGUACCCGAAUAAGAAGGUCCGGCUAACU